UAUUGGACUUGAGAUACUCAUCACGGCCAGGCCCUGGUUUGGGUCGUGACAUAGUUUGACUGGUUUUUGGAAAUACCAUUAUUUUAUCCUUCUUCUCUAAGCUAUAUGCCAGUGCUCGCCCCAUUGACUGCCCUGGAUGCUGCAUCAUUUCAUUAUAUAGGGUUCAAGGGCUUUCCCGUGUAGCGUUGGGUGAUCUGGUACUCCUAUGGAUCUGAUGUGAAGUGGUGAGCCUCCAUCUUUCAAAAGUACUGGUUAUUUUACUUGUUCCUUUAUGUCUUAAUAUUUCUUUUUAAACUCAUUUUCCAAUAUCAUGGGCAUGUCCCAACUUACUUUGGUAUUCUGGCUUUAGAGGUUUUUUUGGACAAGUGUUGGAAUAAUUGGUCAUUGUGUUUUGACACUUAUUUCAUUUGACACAUUUAUCUUAUUCACCAUUUUUGGUUGGCUUCCAUUGUAUUCAUUCAUUGUGCUCUAGGGGUUAGGCUAAAAGGGUAGUCUCCGGCUUAUGGUAGGCUUGAGAUACCCAUCUCGACUAGGCCCUGGUUUGGGUCGUGACAAGCUUGGUAUAAGAGCAAGGUUCAAGGUCUUUUGAUGUUCACAAAACUGUGUCGAGUAAAGUCCCUUUUAUGGGUGCGUAGCAUUCCACACUUAUAAAGUGGAGGCUAUAAGGAAUUUUAGGAAUGUUUCCUUUUCUUGUGUUCUAUUUCAAGCUAUAGAGUCUAGUUAUCUUGAAACUUCUGUAACUCUUAACUUACUCACUUUUUAGAUCAUGUCUCCUUGAAGAUCUGGUGGUCGUAGAAACUCUGUUGGAACCUUUGUCCCACCUAAGGAAAAUAUGGAGGGAACUCACCUUAUAUAUGAAAAGCAAACCUGGUCCAGGGUCUCUGCUCUUGACUGCACCACUCCACGUGGUGUUCUACCAGUCCUUACUAGUCUUCAUUGGACUUCUCAAGUUAAUGAUAUAUAUGCCCAGAUACCCUAAGGAGAUAUCUCUAAUGCAGAAUUCUGUUAGUUUAUUCAUAUGCUUGCCCAACUUGUGGCAUCGCAGUCUCGUCGAUCUAAUCAUAUUGAUUCUGUUGUUAGUUCAUCUAAGGUCACUAGGGUUGACCAGUUUAUGAGGUUGAAUCUCCCAACCUUUAUAGGCUCCAAGGUUGAGGAAGAUCCCCAGGGGUUUAUUGAUGAGAUAGAGAAGAUUUUCAGAGCCAUGCAUGCAAUUGAUUUUGAGGGUGUAGAGUUUGUUGCCUAUCAGUUGAAGGACAUGGCUUAUUAGUGGUAUGUGGGAUGGGAAUUAAUAAGGGGUGAUGAUACUGAGUCUUUGAUGUGGGAUGAGUUUUUAGGGGCUUUUCUUUAUCACUUCUUUCCUUAGAAGUUGAGGGAAGCUAAGGCAGAAGAGUUUGUGAACAUGAAGUAGGGUAAGAUAAUUAUGAAGAAGUAUGACCUGAAGUUCCAGCAGUUGUCCCAUUAUACGCAGGAGUUGGUAUCUAAUAUAAGGUCCUGGAUGAGGAAGUUCGCUUCUGGUUUGUCCCAUGAUUUGGUGUUGAAAUGUAAGGCUGCUAUGUUGAAUAUGAUAUGGACAUAUCUAAGCUGGUAGUCUACAUACAAUAGGUAGAGAAUGAGAAAAAGAAGCAAGUAGAGAUGGGAAAGAGGUAGAAGUUUAGAUAUUCAAAUUAGGGUGAAGGUUAGUAGAAUAGCGAGAGAAAUGGUAUACAGUAGACUAAGAAGAAGAAUUGGCAAAAUUCAUAUUUGACAGCUAGUUUUCCUUAUUCUAAUCCUUUUGGUGAUCAUCGUUUUAGGGCUAGUAGUGAUACUAAGGCAGAGGGUGCCUAGUCUUAAGUUAGUAGAGCUCAGUCAGCCCCACCUUACCCUUCAUGUUGAUUUUGUAGGCAGCUUUACUAUGGUUAUUGUGGAGGGAACGAAUUUGUUUCAAUUGUGGUCAGCCUGAUCAUCUGCAAUAAAAUCGUCUCAUAGCUAAAGUUACCACUGGAUCUAGUAAGGUUUCGGUCGCCACUUUUAUGGCUCCUGCACCUAAGGGUUCCACUUCUAGGUACCAGCACUGUCUGGAAUUGUCUCUAUUCACUUGCUACUCAUUAGGAAUCUGAGGUAUCCCCCGAUGUUGUCACUAGUAUGUUACAACUAUUCUCCCAUGAUAUUUAUUAUUUUCUUGAUUUGGAUUCUAUCAUAUCUUAUGUGACUCCUUAUGUUUCUGUACGCUUUGGUUUUAGUCUUGAAAUUAUUUCUGACCCCUUUUUUGUUUCUACUCCACUGGGUGAUUCCAUUGUUGCUAGAAAAAUCUAUAGGGGUUGUGUGGUGUCCAUCUUUCAUAGGGAGAUGUUAGUGGAGAUAAUAGAACUUGAUGUGGUGGAUUUUUAUGUAAUCUUGGGGAUGGAUUGGCUUAAUUUGUGUUAUGCUUUUUUGGAUUGUAGGACCCGAAAGGUCAGUUUCCAUUUUCCUCAUGAACCGAUAAUUGUAUGGGAUGAGAUUUCGUUAGUGCCUAAAUGGAAGUUUAGUUCUUAUCGUAGAGCUCAUUAUAUUAAAAGGGUGUCUAUAUCUUCUAGUUUGGGUUAAGGAUUCUAAUUCUGAAGGUCUUUCUUUGUAAUUUGUCCCUAUGGUUAAUGAACAUCCUGAAGUUUUUUUUGAUGAUCUUCCUGGAAUUCCCCCCUAUAGGGAAAUAGAUUUUGUGAUUAUCCUCUACCGGUACCUGUCCCAUUUCUAUUCCUCCCUAUAAAAUGAUUUCAGCUAAGCUAAAGGAACUAAAUGAGCAGUUAAAGUGAGGUAUCCCCCGAUGUUGUCACUAGUAUGUUACAACUAUUCUCCCAUGAUAUUUAUUAUUUUCUUGAUUUGGAUUCUAUCAUAUCUUAUGUGACUCCUUAUGUUUCUGUACGCUUUGGUUUUAGUCUUGAAAUUAUUUCUGACCCCUUUUUUGUUUCUACUCCACUGGGUGAUUCCAUUGUUGCUAGAAAAAUCUAUAGGGGUUGUGUGGUGUCCAUCUUUCAUAGGGAGAUGUUAGUGGAGAUAAUAGAACUUGAUGUGGUGGAUUUUUAUGUAAUCUUGGGGAUGGAUUGGCUUAAUUUGUGUUAUGCUUUUUUGGAUUGUAGGACCCGAAAGGUCAGUUUCCAUUUUCCUCAUGAACCGAUAAUUGUAUGGGAUGAGAUUUCGUUAGUGCCUAAAUGGAAGUUUAGUUCUUAUCGUAGAGCUCAUUAUAUUAAAAGGGUGUCUAUAUCUUCUAGUUUGGGUUAAGGAUUCUAAUUCUGAAGGUCUUUCUUUGUAAUUUGUCCCUAUGGUUAAUGAACAUCCUGAAGUUUUUUUUGAUGAUCUUCCUGGAAUUCCCCCCUAUAGGGAAAUAGAUUUUGUGAUUAUCCUCUACCGGUACCUGUCCCAUUUCUAUUCCUCCCUAUAAAAUGAUUUCAGCUAAGCUAAAGGAACUAAAUGAGCAGUUAAAGGAUCUUCUUAAUAAGGGUUUCAUUCAUCCUCGUGUUUCUCCAUGGGGUGCUCCUGUGUUUUUCUUGGGAAAGAAAGAUGGGUCUCUUCAGAUGUUGAUGAGUGGCACAUUACUACUCAUUUGCACACAACAUUUGUGCACACUACUGUAAUUUGAAUGUAUAAAUACGACAUAUUUGUGAUUAAAUGCACUAAUUUCCACUUUUUGCAAGCACACAGAUUAUGAGAUGGAAAGAUGUAGAUUUGAGCUAAAAAGGAUCAAAAAUAAGAAAAAAAGUGCAGCUAGAAGACCUAAAGAAGAAACAAGCCUUAGUUACUGUGACAAGGUAUUUGGGCCGCGAUCGCGGCCAAUCAAGCAGGUCAAAGUACCGCGAUUGCGUGGUUCUAACCGCGGAAGUGGUAGCCGCGAUCGUGAACAAUUGUCAGCAAUUGCAGCAACACGGGAUUCUGCCCAGGGGUUGUUUUAUAAUUUACACAGACAUCCCUAAUUCCCUUAAGUGGUCCAAACCCUUUCUCAUUGGGAACAAUCCCUAAUUUUUGGGAACUCUCUUCUACCAUCUAGUUUCUAAUUUGAAGGGAACAUAUUUGUACUAAUUUUUGGGGUGAAGAAUACAUUAGAGUAACUUCUAAGAGGAAUAUUAGCAAACUCCAUUGAAUAUUUGUUGAGAUUUAAGGAUUGAAUUUGCAUUCUCUUUAUCUUUCAUGAAUCAAUUUGAUGGAGGUUUUUGUAUAUCUUUGUUUAUUAUUCUCAUAAGUUGCUAGUUUUUCCUCUUGGGGCUAUGUUUGAAUAGGGUGAAUGAGUGUGUGGGUUGUUAUCGUUAGCUUUAAAUUAUAGUUAAUGUUGUUAGGUUUCACAAAUAUUUGAUUUUAAAAUGGAAUUUAUUGAUAAAAUCUCUAAUUCUCUAAACCCCACAUUAUCCUUGAAAGAGGAAUGUGGGUAAUCAAGAUCCUAUAUUAUCCUUGAAAGAGGGAUGUAGGUGACAUAAGCAUUUGUGAACAAUACGAUAGAUAUUAGAGAUUUCCCUUUGUAUUGUCUUAGAAAUAAGGAUAGAUUGUGGAAUUGCUAUAUCUUGGGCUUCUUCCUAGAAAUAGGGAUGCCCAAUUUAUGUUUUGUAAUGAUUGGUUGACCACACCCACAAGGUAGUCGAAAGAUUCCGUGGGUGAUAGUUUGAUACUUUGUGGAAAGGCUAGUAUCAAAACCUCUAACCGAGCCUACCCACACGCAUUUUAGCUAAAAAUUGAAGUCGAUUAUCAUGUACCCACACACUAGUUGCCCCUAGUAAAUCUUACCCCAAGAUCCAUUCUUAUUGAUUAUGCUCUAAUUAUUCGUAGCCUCAAAUUAGUACUCUAGAGGCCCAAGUGCUAGUUACAUCCUUGAAAACAUGUAAAACCCCAUAAUUAUUUUGUAUUUUAGAUUUAAAUCUAGCAAGUGACUUUGAUUUCGAACCUACCCGAUUGCCACUCACAUUGUUCCUCGUGGAUUCAACCCUGAGUCAAAGUUGUGUAAUUUUAUUGACAACGACCAGUCAAAUAGGUCAAAGUACUACAAUCGGUUGGUUCUAACCACGAUCGCGGAUAAAUGUCAGCGAUUAUGGCAACACAGGAUUCUGCGCUGGGUUUGUUUUAAAAUUUCUAAAAGUCAUCCCAAAUUUUCUUUAGUGGCUCAAACCCUUUCUCAUUGGGAACAAUCCUUAAUUUUUAGAAACUCUCUUCCACCAUCUAGUUUCUAAUUUGAAGGGAACAUAUUUAUACUAAUUUUGGGAUGAAGAAUACAUUAGAAUAAGUUCUAAGAGGAGGAUUAGCAAACUCCAUUAAAGAUUUGUUGAGAUUUAAGGCUUGAAUUUGCAUUCUCUUUAUUUUUCAUGAAUUUAUUUGAUGGAGGUUUUUGUAUAUCUUUGUUUACUAUUCUCAUGAGUUGCUAGUUUUCCCUCUUAGGAUUAUGUUUGAAUAGGGUGAAAAAGGGUGUGGGUUGUGAUUGUUAGCUUUAACAUUUAGUUGAUGUUGUUGGGUUUCACAAAUGUCUGAUUUUAAAAUGGAAUUUGUUAGUGAAAGUCUCAAAUUCUCUAAACCCCACAUCAUCCUUGAAAGAGUGAUGUAGGUAAUUAGAUCCUACAUUAUCUUUGAAAGAGGGAUGUAGGUGACAUAAGCAUUUAUAAACAAUAAGAUAGAUAUUAGUGAUUUCCCUUUGUAUUGUCUUAGAAAUAAGGAUAUAUUGUGGAAUUGCUAUAUCUUGGGCAUCUUCUUAGAAAUAGGGAUGUCCAAUUAAUGUUUUGUAAUGAUUGGUUGAUCACACCCACGAGGCAGUCAAAAGAUUAUGUGGGUGAUAGUUUGAUACUUUGUUGAAAGGCUAGUAUCAAAAUCUCUAACCGAUCCUACCCACAUACACUUUAGCUAAAAUUUAAUGUUGAUUUUCUGUACCCAUACACUAGUUUCCCCUAGUAAAGCUUAGCCCCAUGAUCCAUUCUUAAUUGAUUACGCUUUAAUUAUUCGUAGCCUUUAAUUAGUGAUCUAAAGGCCCAAGUGCUAGUUACAUCCUAGAAAAUGUGUAAAACCCCCCAAUUAUUUUGUAUCUUAGGUUUAAAUCUAGCAAGCGACUUCCAUUUCAAACCUACCCGAUCUCCACUCAUAUUAUUCCUCAUGGAUUUGACCCCAACUCAAAGUUUGGUAAUUUUAUUGACAACGACCGUCUUGCACUUAAAUUGAUGUGUGAGUUGAGCGUUAUUAGAUGUGUAUAGACUAUCAUCAAUUGAAUAUGGUUAUAAUGAAGAAUAAGUACCCUUUUUCGAGGACUGGUGAUCUUUUUGGCCAACUUCAGGGUGUUAUGUGUUUCUCUAAGAUUAAUAUUCGUUUGGGCUACCAUUAGCUAAAAAUUAUGGAUGUUCAUAUUCCCAAGACUAUUUUUCAAACUCGAUGUGGCCAUUAUGAGUAUCUUUUUAUGUCAUUUAGGUUGACUAAUGCUCUGACUGCAUUCAAGGAUCUUAUGAAUCAAGUGUUUAAAUAGUUUUUGGAUUUGUUUGUUAUAGUCGUAAUUGAUGACAUCUUAGUGUACUCUAAGUAUGAGGAGGAUCAUGCAAAUCACCUCUGAAUUGUGUUACAGACUUAGAAGGACAAAAAAUUAUAUGCAAAGAUUUCUAACUAUGAAUUUUGGUUAAGUUUUGUGACCUUUCUUAGGCAUGUUAUUUCUAGUAAGGGGAUCAACGUGGAUCCGCAGAAAGUUCAGAUAGUUAAGAAGUGGCCUAGACCCAUGAAUCCAACCGACAUUAGGAGCUUCUUGGGCUUGGUUGGGUAUUAUAGGAGGUUUGUGGGGAGUUUUCUAUCUAUUACUGCCACACUGACGAAGUUAACUCAAAAAAAGGUCAAGUAUUUAUGGUCUGAUUCUUGUGAGGGUAGUUUUGAGAAGUUGAAGGAUAAGUUGACUUUUGCGCCAGUCUUUACCCUGCCCGAGGGUACUGAUUGGUUUGUCAUGUAUUGGGAUGUAUCUCAUGUGGGAAUGGGUUGGGUUUUGAAGCUGCAUGGUAAGGUUGUGGCCUAUUCUUCCAAAUAACUUAAAGUUCAAGAGAGGAAUGAUCCGACUCACGAUUUAGAGUUGGCGACUGUGGUUUUUACUUUGAUGAUCUGGCACCAUUAUCUGUAUGGGGUGCACGUGGAUAUUUAUUCAGACCAAAAAGAGCUUGCGGUAUGUAUUUACGUAAAAGGAAUUAAACCUCAGGCAAAUGAGGUAGUUGAGUUACUCUAGGAUUAUGACAUGAGCUUUCACUACUAUCCAGUUAAGAUAAUGUCAUUUUUGAUGCACUUAGCAGGUUGUCUAUGGGAAGAUUAUCUCAUGUAAAUGAAGAAAAAGAAGGUUAGUAAAGGAUAUUCAUAGGUUGGCCAACUUAGGAGUUCAUCUUUUUUACUCUAAGGAUGGGGGAGUAAUUGUUCAAGUAGUGGUUAAAUCAUAUCUUGGUGUUGAGGUAAAGGAGAAGCAGACUUUGGAUCCCAUACUUAUAUAGAUAAAGGAUGAUGUGGGUCAACAAUAGGUUAUGACAUUCAAGAUUUGGGGAGAUGAAAUUCAAAGGGAUCAAGAAAGGUUGCAUGUUUUUUAUGUUGACGGGCUAUAGGAAAGUAUUGACUGAGGCUCAUGAGUCCAGAUAUACAGUUCAUCCGAGUUCGACUAAGAUGAACCAUGACUUGGAGAAAAUCUACUGGUGGAAUAAUAUGAAGAGAGAUAUGGAAAACUUUUUGGUUAAAUGUAUGAUUUGUCAUCAAGUCAAGGUUGAACAUUUGAGGCCUAGCGGCAUGUCUCAAGAGAUAAAGUGCCCAUGUGGAAGUGGGAGAUAAUCAAUAUGGACUUUUUCACCAGUCUUCCACGGUCUCUCAAUUAGUAUGAUUCUAUUUGGGUCAUUGUGGAUAGAAUAACUAAGUCUUCUCACUUCUUGUCUGUGAGGACUAACUACUCAGGAGAGGAUUAUGCAAAGUUGUUCGUUCAGGAGAUAGUAAAGUUAGAUGGAGCAUUAGAGUCCAUUAUUUUUUAUCGAGGUACGCAGUUUUCCUCUUACUUCUAGCGUUUGUUUGAGAAAGGUUUGGGUACUCAGGUGAACCUUAGCACCACUUUUCACCCUCAAACUGAUGGACAAACGGAACGGACUAUUUAGACUUUAGAAGAUAUGCUAAGUGCCUGUAUGAUUGAUUUUAAAGGCAGUUGGGUUGACCAUUUUCCUCUCAUUGAGUUUGCUUAUGACAAUAGUUAUCAUUCUAGAAUUCAAAUGACAUCUUUAGAGGCUCUUUAUGGUAGAAGCUAUAGGCCUCCUAUUAGGUGGUUUGAGGUAGGUGGGACUUUCUUGUUUGAUCUUGACUUGGUUCACCAAGCGAUGGAGAAGGUGAAGGUUAUUAGAGAAAAACUUAAGACUGCGCAAAGUCACAGAAAUUUUUAUGCGAAUGUAAGGUGGAGGGAGUUAAAGUUUGAGAUUGGUGAUUGGGUGUUCUUGAAGGUUUAUCCUAUGAAAGGAGUCAUGAGAUUUGGGAAGAAGGGGAAGCUCAGUCCCUGUUACAUUAGUCCAUAUCAGAUUGUAAAUAGAAUUUAGAAUGUCAUGUAUAAGUUAGAUUUACCUGCGAAUUUGGCCUAGGAUUCAUUUUUUUCCGUGUGUCUAUGCUGAAAAAGUGUGUGGGUGACCAUUUAUUAAUGGUGUCAAUUGACGAUGUUGGUAUUACAAAUUUCUUGUCUUAUGAGGAGUCCUGACUGAGAUAUUGGAUAUACACUUUCGUAGAUUGAGAACUAAAGAUGUAGCUUUAGAGAAGGUUAUUUAGAGAAAUCAAAAAGUGGAAGAAACUUCAUGGAAAAGCAGAGAAAGAUAUGAAAUCCAGGUACUAGUUCUUAUUCCAAACAUUAUAUAAAAGUACCUAAGGUAUGAGUUUUAUUUUUCUCUUGUCGCAUUUUGGAUUUGUUAUUUGGUUCUGAUGUAUUCUUACUAUUAUCGUGCUAGAGGCCCAAGUGCUAGUUACAUCCUUGAAAAUAUGUAAAACCCCUAAUUAUUUUGUAUCUUAGGUUUAAAUCUAGCAAGCAACUUUCAUUUCAAACCUACCCGAUCGCCACUCAUAUUGUUCCUCAUGGAUAUGACCCCAACUCAAAGUUGGGUAAUUUUAUUGACAACGACUGCCUUGCACUUAAAUCAACAUGUGAGUUGAGCAUUAUUAGAUAUGUAUAGACUAUCAUCAGUUGAAUAUGGUUACGGUGAAGAAUAAGUACCCUUUUUAUAGGACUGGUGAUCUUUUUGGCUAAUUUCAGGGUGUUAUGUGUUUCUCCAGGCUACCAUUAGCUAAAAAUUAUGGAUGUUCAUAUUCUCAAGACUAUUUUUCUAACUCGAUAUGGCCAUUAUGAGUUUUUUUAUGUCAUUUGGGUUGACUAUUGCUCUGACUACAUUCAAUGAUCUUAUGAAUCAAGUGUUUAGAUAGUUUUUGGAAUUUUUUGUUAUAGUCGUAAUUGAUGACAUCUUAGUGUACUCUAAGAAUGAGGAGGAUCAUGCAAAUCACCUCUGAAUUGUGUUGCAGACUCUUAAGGACCAAAAAUUGUAUGCAAGGAUUUCUAACUGUGAAUUUUGGUUAAGUUUUGUGACCUUUCUUGGGCAUGUUGUUUCUAGUAAGGAGAUCAAAGUGGAUCCACAGAAAGUUCAAGUAGUUAAGAAGUGGCCUAGACCCAUGACUCCAACCGACAUUAGGAGUUUCUUAGGCUUGGCUGGGUAUUAUAGGAGGUUUGUGGGAAGUUUUCCAUCUAUUGCUGCCACGCUGAUGAAGUUAACUCAGAAAAAGGUCAAGUAUUUAAGGUCUGAUUCUUGUGAGGGUAGUUUUGAGAAGUUAAAGGAUAAGUUGACUUUUACGCCAGUGUUGACUCUGCCCAAGGGUAUUGAUGGGUUUGUCGUGUAUUGUGAUGCAUCUCGUGUGGGACUGGGUUAAGUUUUGAUACUUCAUGGUAAGUUUAUGGCCUAUUCUUCUAAACAACUUAAGGUUCACGAGAGCAAUCUUCCGACUCACAAUUUAGAGUUGGUGACUGUGGUUUUUGCUUUGAAGAUCUGGCACCAUUAUUUAUAUGGGAUGCAUUUGGAUAUUUGUUCAGACCAAAAGAGCUUUUGGUAUGUAUUUACGCAAUAGAAAUUAAACCUCAAUCAAAUGAGGUAGUUGAGUUGCUCAAGGAUUAUGACAUGAGCCUUCACUACUAUCCAGAUAAAGAUAAUGUGGUUGUUGAUGCUCUUAGCAGGUUGUCUAUGGAAAUAUUAUCUCACGUAAAUAAAGAGAAAAGAAGGUUAGUAAAGGAUAUUAAUAGGAUGGCCAACUUUGGAGUUCGUCUUUUGGACUCUGAGGAUGGGGGAGUAAUUGUUCAAGAAGUGGUUAAAUCAUAUCUUGGUAUUGAGGUGAAGGAGAAGCAGAAUUUAGAUUCCAUACUUAUGCAGAUAAAGAAUAAUGCAGGUCAACAAAAGGUUAUGACAUUCAAGAUUGGGGAAGAUGGCAUUCAAGGGGAUCAAGAAAGGUUGUUUAUUUUUUAUGUUAACGGGCUAUGGGAAAGCAGUGACUGAGGCUCAUGAGUCCAUAUAUGCAGUUCAUCCGAGUUCGACUAAGAUGUACCAUGACUUGAAAAAAAUCUACUAGAGGAAUAAUAUGAAGAGAGAUAUGGCAAACUUUAUGGCUAAAUGUAUGAUUUGUCAGCAAGUCAAGGUUAAAUAUUUGAGGCCUAGUGGCAUGUCUCGAGAGAUAAAGUGCCCAUGUGGAAGUGAGAGAUAAUCAAUAUGGAUUUUUUCACCAGUCUUCCGUAGUCUCUCAAUUAGUAUGAUUUUAUUUGGGUCAUUGUGGAUAGAAUAACUAAGUCUAUUCACUUCUUGUUUGUGAGGACUAACUACUCAAGAGAGGAUUAUGCUAAGUUGUUCGUUCAGGAGAUAGUUAAGUUACAUAGAGCAUUGGAGUCUAUCAUUUCAGACUGAGGUACGCAGUUUUCUUCUUACUUCUAGCGUUUGUUUGAGAAAGGUUUGGGUACUCAGGUGAACCUUAGCACCACUUUCCACCCUCAAAUGGAUGGACAAACGAAAUAGACUAUUCAGACUUUGGAAGAUAUGCUAAGUGCUUGUGUGAUUUAUUUUAAAGGCAGUUGGGUUGACCAUUUUCCUCUCAUUGAGUUUGCUUAUAACAAUAGUUAUCAUUCUAGCAUUCAAAUGACAUCUGUAUAGACUCUUUAUGGCAGAAGGUGUAGGCCUCCUAUUGGGUGGUUUGAGGUAGGUGAGACUUGCUUGUUUGAGCCUGACUUGGUUCACUAAGCCAUAGAGAAGGUGAAGGUUAUUAGAGAAAAACUUAAGACUGCUCAAAUUCGCCAAAAGUCUUAUGCAGAUAUAAUAUGGAGGGAGUUGAAGUUUGAGGUUGGUGAUUGGGUGUUCUUGAAGAUUUAUCCUAUGAAAUUAGUCAUGAUAUUUGGGAAGAAGGGGAAACUCAAUCUCUGUUACAUUGGUCCAUAUCAGAUUGUAAAUAGAAUUGAGAAUGUCGUGUAUAAGUUAGAUUUACCAGUGAAUUUGGCUUCUAUUCAUCUUAUUUUCCAUGUGUCUAUGCUGAAAAAGUGUGUAGGUGACCCUUCGUUAAUGGUGUCAGUUGACGAUGUUGGUAUUAUGAAUUUCUUGUCUUAUGAGGAGUCCUGACUAAGAUAUUGGAUAUAUACUUUCGUAGAUUAAGAACUAAAGAUGUAGCUUCAAAGAAGGUUAUUUGGAGAAAUCAAAAGUGGAAGAAGCUACAUGGAAAGCUGAGGAAGAUAUGAAAGCCAAGUACGUAUUCUUAUUCCCAACAUUAGAUGAAAGUACCAAAGGUAUGAGUUUUAUUUUUCUCUUGUCACAUUUUGGAUUUGUGAUUUGGUUCUGAUUUAUUCUUACUAUUAUCGUGCUAAAAAUAUCCUAAAUCCUCAUUCGGAGACGAAUGAUCCUUUCUUGAAAGCAGUAAUGUAAGACCCCAGAAAAUUUCAACGAAUUUAUUAUUGACCCUCCGAUAUGUGCAAUGUCAAUUUUGACUUGAACUAUGACUAGGAAUGUUAAAAGGGUGUUUUGGAAUAGUUCUAGAAUUUUGAAAGGGGUUCGGGAUCAUUUUAGGACUCUGAGGAAGUAAGCUUCUAUGAUAGUGGCAUGUCAUUCCACUUAGCUUUUGCGAUAAGGUGAUGGCACGGAGGCUAAGCUCUGUGAUAGUGGCGUGACACAUCACUAUGUUAAAUUCGUCCAAAAAUUUUCACUUGGGGUGAGGGGCUUUUGGUGCUUUUAUAUCUUGGACAACUUUUAAACACUCAAUUGGCCUUUGUCCUUCAAUUAUCAAAGAUCAAACACCAUCUUUUUUUCUUUAACUCUAAACCCAAGAAAGUUCAAGGGUUUUACUGAGAACUCAUCAUCCGGGCUCUCAAUUUCGAUUUCUCUUCAAAUUCUUUAAUUGUUGGGUUUUGAAAUUGAGUUGAGGGCUUUUGAUGGUUAUUACUUGGAUUGUAUUCCCCAUGAUUUAAAUGUGUUGUUUAUACUUUAAUUGAUGGUUUUGAGGCUGAAUGGGUGCAUUGUUAUGAGAAUUAAAAUAGGGACAUUGGGUUUCCCCAAAUCAAUGAAAAUUUGAAUUGAUAAUGGCAUUAACAUCAAUACACAUUGAAAUCUUGAUUUUUAAUAUGAAACUUUCAUGAUUUAACUUACUUUUGGAAUAUUGCAUUACAUUAAAGAAUAAUGGAUACUAAAAAUGAUUUUGGAAUGUCUUUGGUGGCAAUGAUUUGAAUUUUUUAAAUGGAACUUGGGAGUCUAAUGGAUAUAUGGAUUUGUUUGGGCAUAAUUGAAUUAGCUUGCAAACAUAUUGGUAUGACGAUACCGUGAUGGAAAAUGCCUUAAUAAAUGACUCAUUCAUUAAUGGUUGAGUUUAUGUGCAAGUUGUUUAAAUUUGGGUUUAAAGAAAAUUCUAUAGCUCACAAUGAAGGUGUAGUCCCGAGGGGACCAACACUGAAAACCACAUUUUCCGACGUGAGGGUCUAUGUGGCUGUGUGCUAGGUGCACAUUUUAUAUAUUUUUUGGAUGGCUAUUGUCUUGGUGUCUUUAGCCUUUCCUCGGUAUGUGCGGCUAACACACAUUAGGGCCUUUCCAAUAGGGGGAAUCAGACCUAUAUAACCAGUGGGUGCCUUUAGAAUGGAGUGAGCUACACAGUUCAGGCUAGAUGUGCAUGUGGUUUGACUAGUUUUUGACAGUGACAUUAUUUUAUCCCUCUUUUCUGAAUUACAUGUCAAUGCUCACCCCACUGACCGCCCCUGGACGCUACAUUGUUUCAUGAUAUAGGGUUCGAGGGCUUUUCUGUUGCUCUUGUGUAGCGUUAGGUGAAUUGGUACUCUUGUGGAUAUGCUGUAA
rnacentral:lncRNA from 1 species